UAGCUUAGUUGGUAAUGCGUCUGCCUUGUAAGCGCUAGGCCGCGGGUUCGAUUCCCGC
rnacentral:tRNA from 1 species